GCGCAAUGGGCGAAAGCCUGACGCAGCCAUGCCGCGUGUAUGAUGAAGGUCUUAGGAUUGUAAAAUACUUUCACCGGUGAAGAUAAUGACUGUAGCCGGAGAAGAAGCCCCGGCUAACUUCGUGCCAGCAGCCGCGGUAAUACGAAGGGGGCUAGCGUUGCUCGGAAUUACUGGGCGUAAAGGGAGCGUAGGCGGACAUUUAAGUCAGAGGUGAAAUCCCGGAGCUUAACUUCGGAACUGCCUUUGAUACUGGGUGUCUUGAGUGUGAGAGAGGUAUGUGGAACUCCGAGUGUAGAGGUGAAAUUCGUAGAUAUUCGGAAGAACACCAGUGGCGAAGGCGACAUACUGGCUCAUUACUGACGCUGAGGCUCGAAAGCGUGGGGAGCAAACAGGAUUAGAUACCCUGGUAGUCCACGCCGUAAACGAUGAUUGCUAGUUGUCGGGAAGCUUGCUUCUCGGUGACGCAGCUAACGCAUUAAGCAAUCCGCCUGGGGAGUACGGUCGCAAGAUUAAAACUCAAAGG
rnacentral:rRNA from 1 species